AUGUCCUUGGCCUUACAGCAAAAAUCCCAUAUGUUCAAGGUCCAGUUCAGCGGGGUAUCAAAAGGAAAAAAUCAAUGGAAAAUUGUCAUAGCUGCAUAUAGAAUUUACAGAUGUAUGUGGAUGUUCAGAAUGGCUCUUUGAUGGAGUCAUCAGAAAGAUAUACAGAAGGGAGAUUGACAAGCAAGCAAAUAGCACAGUCUGUACUGAACAAACACAGAAAGGAGCUGGACACAUCUGAGAAUCUUGUGUUGAGCUCAGAAGAAUUCCUUCUGGACCAGCACUUUCCUGCAUUUGCCGAGUCUGUAGAAAAAGAGCUGCACAAAGUGGCAGAGAACUGAUAUUUAACUGUCCGAGAAGAAGAAGAUGCAAAUAAGUAUUUAGUUUGGUUUUAUUGAAGUUAUGUUUAACAGGUGUAUUUACUGCACACUUUAUCACACUGCAAAUACAGAAUAAUCCACAGGAUCAUGCAACUAGUAGAGCCCCUCUAACCCAUAAGAUAUUUUAGCAUUGAUAUACACACACACACAUAUAAAUCUAGUUGCAUAGAAUAAACAUGCUAUGACCAAAAAAAA